GGGGGAUUAGCUCAGUUGGGAGAGCGAUUGCCUUGCACGCAGUAGGUCAACGGUUCGAGCCCGUUAUCCUCCA
rnacentral:tRNA from 1 species